GGCGCGCGCGCAGAGAGCGAGGGAAAGCGCGCAGGCUGCCGCUGGCUCUCGGCGGCGGGGGAAGCGCGCAAGGACGGCCCAACAUGGCGGAUGGUCGGCGGCACCACUGGCUCCGCGUUCUCCGGCACCUCCGUCGGCGGUGACGGCCUCACGUACUCCGAUGACUCCAUCUGAGAGACCGACGCACGCGAUUGCACGAGCCGUUCGUAACCUACCCUGUAGAACCGGGCUUUUGUAGACUAGUCGUACUUUCAGAAGCUCGUUUCUACAGGUAUCUUGCGAAACUAGCUGACCGCUGCUAGACCUUCAGGCAAGGCCGGCUUACUUCACGGGCUGUUGCGACCGCCUGGGAAGGCAGCGUUCGUGAGACACCAGGUAAAGUCAUGCAUUCAUAAUGCCAUCAUCAAGGUGAGCUGGUUGAUCUAUGCGCCUUCUGUUCUCCGUUGAGUGCCAACAACAUGGCGCGUUUUCUUCAUGCAGGAGAUGAGCCGGCGUCGCGUCGAGCAGUGUAACUUGAUCUCCCAUCGUUCAAGGUGUUGCAUGUUGAUCCAUGAGGGCGCAGUAAAUAACCAGGCAUGCCUGAUGACUUUCACUCCAAGAACGUGCAAACAGGAGCCAGAACUACCAUUGAAAAACCCUGUUAGGUGGAUGACCGGAAACUCAAUAAACUACGAAUUUGUAUAA